UUUGUAUAGAGCUGAUGUGUUUCCUGUGACUGUGGGCUGCAGAUGAUCAGAUGAUCAGAGAUGAUCAGAGAUGAUCAGAUCCACACGUUCCCUUUCUGUAAUGUUAACAGUGAAUCUUGGAUCUACAUCAGACUCUUUAGCUCCUUUUGCACUACUGUAGGAGCUACUGACACAGUGAUAAAGAAAAAAAUCAGGACAUCAACAGAGGUCAGAGACACUGAAGAUGGACACAAAGAGGAGAAAAUACUGUAGCAGGAUAGGAACAUUAUCUCCACGUGAAAGUGUGUGAACACUGCCAUCCUGUGGCAUACAUCAACCUCCACUAUUUAUUGCAAAUGGGGUUUUUGUAGAGAGUUGAUGUGUUUCCUGUGACUGUGGGCUGCAGAGCACAGUAGUACAGAGCAGAGUCUGAUACAGCAGCAGAAGAGAU